rnacentral:rRNA from 1 species
CAGCAGCCGCGGUAAUACGUAGGGUGCAAGCGUUAAUCGGAAUUACUGGGCGUAAAGCGUGCGCAGGCGGUUUGUUAAGACAGAUGUGAAAUCCCCGGGCUCAACCUGGGAACUGCAUUUGUGACUGGCAAGCUAGAGUGUGGCAGAGGGGGGUGGAAUUCCGCGCGUAGCAGUGAAAUGCGUAGAUAUGCGGAGGAACACCGAUGGCGAAGGCAGCCCCCUGGGCCAACACUGACGCUCAUGCACGAAAGCGUGGGGAGCAAACAGGAUUAGAUACCCCCGUAGUCCCUGUCUCUUAUAA